rnacentral:rRNA from 1 species
CGGAGGGAUCAUUAAAGAGUUCUAUAACUCCCAAACCCAUGUGAACAUACCUAGCGUUGCCUCGGCAGGUCGCACCUACCUUGUAGCACCCUACCCUGUAGGGCCUACCCGGGAGGUGCGGGUAAGCCUGCCGGCGGCCCACCAAACUCUGUUUGAUAUUGAAUUCUGAACCUAUAACUAAAUAAGUUAAAACUUUCAACAACGGAUCUCUUGGUUCUGGCAUCGAUGAAGAACGCAGCGAAAUGCGAUAAGUAAUGUGAAUUGCAGAAUUCAGUGAAUCAUCGAAUCUUUGAACGCAUAUUGCGCCCAUUAGUAUUCUAGUGGGCAGGACCGUUCGAGCGUCAUUUCAACCCUUAAGCCUUCGUUGCUUAGUGUUGGGAGCCUACGGCAACGUAGCUCCUCAAAGUUAGUGGCGGAGUUAGUUCACACUCUAGACGUAGUAAUUUUUUAUCUCGCCUAUUAGUUGGACUAAUCCCCUGCCGUAAAACCCCCAAUUUAUCAAGGUUGACCUCGAAUCGGUUCAGACAAACUCGCUAAAUUGAAGCAUCUUAGUCAGCGAAGGAAAAGAAACCAACAGGGAUUGCCCUAGUAACGGCGAGUGAAGCGGCAACAGCUC